rnacentral:misc_RNA from 1 species
GGAAAUCAAAAGAAGCUCUGUGAGUAUAAGCUAGCUAGCAUAUAUCUAUUAAUUGUAUGGUAUGCAAUUGUGUUACUGUUUUGCUUUACCCUGUUCUGUGCUUUCUUUGAUUUUCCUUAACUCACCUUCCUGAAUUUUGUAAUUGAAUGUAGUAACUUACACAUGGAGGGUCAAGGAUGCAUUGUCCACCAUUGAGUGGUUUACCUUGUGACUUCUCAUUUUAAUUUCUUGGCCAACUUAUCAUGUCCUUACACUGAACAAGUGACUUGUGGCAGGCCCCUUGCAUUUUUGUUGCCACUUGUGCCCCCUGGGUGGGAAAUCUUCUCCAUGCCCUUCAUAUUUUGCUCGAUGCAGAUGCUAGACAAGUGUUCCUUGUUAAUUUAGAAGCUCAGAUAUUAAAGAAAAGAGGGCAGGCCCCUUGUACAGCACCUGCUUUUUGGUGAUGCCUGUCCUUUUGGGGUAUUGUGAUUUGACUCUCCCAUUGUUCUUGGGCUCCAUUUGUGAACAGAUUUCAUUUGGGAGUUUUCUUUUCAACCAUUAGAGCACAUGCACUGAAUUAAAUACCUGUUUCACUCUCUGCAUUUAUCUCAGUUUUGAGAUAUGCAUCCGAAAUCCCAAUAAGACAAGGCAAAACUAGUAUCCUUCACU